CCUACGCGAGGCAGCAGUGGGGAAUAUUGGGCAAUGGGCGCAAGCCUGACCCAGCAACGCCGCGUGAAGGAAGAAGGCUCUCGGGUUGUACACUUCUUUUAUCAAGGACGAAACAAAUGCCGGUACUUGAUGAAUAAGCCACGCCUAACUACGUGCCAGCAGCCGCGGUAUUACGUAGGUGGCAAGCGUUAUCCGGAUUUACUGGGGGGAAAGGGCGUGUAGCGGGGACUGCAAGUCAGAUGUGAAACCUAUGGGUUGAACCCAUGGCCUGCAUUUGAAAUUGUGGUUGGUGAGUGUUGGAGAGGCAGGCGGAAUUCCGUGUGUAGCGGUGAAAUGCGUAGAUAUACGGAGGAACACCAGUGGCGAAGGCGGCCUGCUGGACAAUAACUGACGCUGAGGCGCGAAAGCGUGGGGAGCAAACAGGAUUAGAUACCCGAGUAGUC
rnacentral:rRNA from 1 species